rnacentral:rRNA from 1 species
UACGGGGGGGGCAAGCGUUGUUCGGAAUUACUGGGCGUAAAGGGCUCGUAGGCGGCCAACUCAGUCGGACGUGAAAUCCCUCGGCUUAACCGGGGAACUGCGUCCGAUACUGGAUGGCUUGAGUGUGGGAGAGGGAUGCGGAAUUCUCGGUGUAGCGGUGAAAUGCGUAGAUAUCGAGAGGAACACCUGCGGCGAAGGCGGGUUGCUGGGCUGACACUGACGCUGAUGCGCGAAAGCCAGGGGAGCGAAGCGGG